GGAGUCGGCCAGGCGAUCGCGGUCAUCCUUGCGGAUGGCGGAGGAAAGUCCGGGCUCCACAGGGCGGGAGGCCAGGUAACGCCUGGGCGACGCGAGUCGACGGAAAGUGCAACAGAAAGCAAACCGCCGACGGUGCCGGUUCGCCGGUGCCGGGCAAGGGUGAAACGGUGGGGUAAGAGCCCACCGCGUCUGCGGUAACGGAGACGGCACGGCAAACCCCCUCCGGAGCAAGACCAAAUAGGGAAACAUGCCUCUGGCAGCCUGCGGCCCGCAGGUGUUUCCGGGUAGGUCGCACGAGGCGUCCGGUGACGGGCGUCCCAGAUGAAUGAUCGUCCUCGACAGAACCCGGCUUAUCGGCCGACUCCACAU
rnacentral:RNase_P_RNA from 1 species